rnacentral:sRNA from 1 species
UCUUCGUCUAAGAGGCAUUGCUGGAAUGC